CAGUAGCCACGGUAAAACAGAGGGUGCGAGCGUUAAUCGGAUUUACUGGGCGUAAAGCGUGCGUAGGCGGCUUCUUAAGUCGGAUGUGAAAUCCCUGAGCUUAACUUAGGAAUUGCAUUCGAUACUGGGAAGCUAGAGUAUGGGAGAGGAUGGUAGAAUUCCAGGUGUAGCGGUGAAAUGCGUAGAGAUCUGGAGGAAUACCGAUGGCGAAGGCAGCCAUCUGGCCUAAUACUGACGCUGAGGUACGAAAGCAUGGGGAGCAAACAGGAUUAGAUACACCCGUAGUCCCUGUCUCUUAUAA
rnacentral:rRNA from 1 species